rnacentral:rRNA from 1 species
UACGUAGGGGGCAAGCGUUGUCCGGAAUCAUUGGGCGUAAAGAGCGCGUAGGCGGCUUUAUAAGUCGGGGGUGAAAGCCUGUGGCUCAACCACAGAAUUGCCUUCGAUACUGUAGAGCUUGAGACCGGAAGAGGUAAGUGGAACUGCGAGUGUAGCGGUGAAAUGCGCAGAUAUCGGGAGGAACACCUAUGGCGAAGGCAGCUCGCUGGGACGGUACUGACGCUGAGACGCGAAAGCGUGGGGAGCAACAGGAUGAUGAAC